UCUCAUACCCUGUCUUAUUGUUUAUUUCAUUCCCUAGUGUUUCACCCACAUGAGCCACACCCUCUUCUCCAAAUGGGGUGGCUGCACUCCCUCUUCUCUCCUUUGAAGAAGCUGUGGUUUCGCCUCCAUUCAGCUCCGAAGAAAACAGGAAGAGGGAUAUACAUUCUGUAUGAGGAUGUAAAAUCCUGCCCCUAUGAGGAUGUGCAUGUCCUGUGGUCAAUACUAGUGGAGGCACAUACACAUACACCUUCUUUGCCAUCAAAAAGCAUGAGCGAAGGCCCAAAUGUUCUUCACAGUAUAUGAGAGAGUUCCAGCCAAGUAUAUACAAUAUUUAUGUUUUAAUGUUUUAUACUGGUGUACAUGUAAAAAGGUUUUUACCCCAGUUUUUUUCCUUUUUUGGUGUUCUGUAAAUGUAAUACAUUAAAAUAUAUGCUUUUCUUGAGUUUUUGAAGCGCUCCAAAUCUGAAUGAAUCUUUCUUCUACAUCA